UUUUAUUAUUUUGCAGCUGCAACUGUUAGUUGGCUAUUGCUGUAAUUGAUGGACACUGGCAGUUGCUCAGACAGAUGGAAAUUAAUACUCGUGUUACUGUUAGAACUCGCUUUCACAGUCACGUUUUUAUUAGCCUCCCACACUGAAUUAAUGUGUGCACGAUGGUGCGUGUAGAAUCACAGAGUCAUUAAGGUUGGAAAAGACCACUAAGAUCAUCAAGUCCAGACAUCAAGAAGGAGCAGCACAGAUCCUACCUGCAGACCAGCCAAGUGCUUGCUUUGUAUUGGUGGGCCAUGGUAGAAAGAAGUGAGGCUGUAUCAAAUGCGAGGCAUCAACCUGCUCUUCAGAUGCUACUCUAGGUAAUUUUCAUACAAAUGAGAUGAAGCUUCGGAUUUCAGUCCUGCCGUGUUACCUUGGUUCCCAUAAGAUCUCCUGAAGCCCUUAGCUGAAAAUGCAGUUGUUAAUGCCUUAGCUUCAUGUGGUCUGACUGUUCAGUGUCCAGCAAUGUAAGUGCAGCAGUCCUGGGCAAGGUUCAGCAGCAUCAGCUGUUUCUGUGGCCAGCCUCUCAGCUUUGACACCUCAAGCAUGACAUAAAUCAGGCUAAACAGAACAUGCAAUAUUAAACAUCUGUUGACUUCUAAAUAAGGAAAAUCAUAUUAGUCACUCUGUAAGCAAUCUGCAUGAUAAUUUCAGGAAAGCAUGAGGUGACUGCUCUCUCAGAGGAAGAAAUAGCUGAUAGAUCUUUUCUAUAUAUGUGAACUAGCUGUAAGAAAGACUGAAGAUCUGACCAGAAGUCUUCCUUCUGUGAGGUGCCUUUGUUGGAGAAAAAAAAAGACGAGUCAAAUUGUCUGCCACUGUGGAAAUUCAUUUCAGAUGUGUACAGGGCAGUAUCUACAGCACCAAGUCUUGGACAGAAUGGAAUCUGUUGCAGAUAUUGCUUGUCAACUGAAAGGAAUCUCACUGGAGCAUUGUAAUCUCUCCAAAAUAAUUUUUUCAAUUAUGUUUAACAUACAGGAGUAGAUGACUUAAAAAACCAUCCUAGCUGACAGCCCAAAGGCAACCAAAUGUUACAGUCAAGUCCAUUUUAAAGGUGCAGAGUGUCCAUAUUAACCCUUCAUCUAUAGAUGGUUGAAAGAAAACAAAAUACACAAAUCGUGCACCUUUUAGAGAUCUCAGCACUUAAACCUGGAGAUGUGGCUGCAGUGUAGAAACGAAGAAACAUGCAGUGUCAAGAUGAGGAAAAUAAAGAACAACACUGAUGCUUUAGCAGCAGCCUCUUGACAAUCCACUUCUGUCAACUGAAGAACAGCGUUUGGAGUAGGAUGACUACAGAUGCUUUACCUCAGAAAAGCACUUUUGUGAUUUCUUCUAAUGCAAAAAUACCAGCUUGCCUGCUGAUCUUGGAAAACUCACACACUGCCUUCAGAACUCCUGCCUGGCAUGAGAGUAGGCCAGAAUAACAUGUAUAGCCCGUGACAGCAGCAAAAUGAGGCUAACAAAUAUCCUACUGAGGAUGCGGUUUGACAGCUUCAUCCAUCCAGCUGAAUUUGCAUUUGAGAGUCAAGAACUCAAAUUAUUCUCAUCAGUGGGAGCCUAUUUGAGGAAUUCGACUGUAUGACUGAAACAUCUCCUGGGCUGCUUUUCUAAACAGCACAUCGGAAUAAAAGGUUUCUUUUUUAACUGAAGCUCUGGAAGAAUUUCUGUUCUCAGAGGCCUGUAGAAAAAGUCAGUUCAAAAAUAGAAAAAUAAAUGCAGAGAGACUGCGCAGAAAAGAAGACCUGAAAGAUGGAUGUUUUGUUGUGUUCAUUGUUGCUGAAGUAGGAAAAAAUGUGCAAAAAAAUAAAAAUAUAAACAUAAAAAAUGGCCACUUAUGACUGGUUUACACUUGAAAUAUUUAAGAAGUAAGAAAAGCGUGUUCUCCAGCUCCUGAAACGUCUAUUGUGCCCAAGUAACUAUGCUAACUAUCUGUUGGUGUAAGUGGAUGCCACCUCAUGGAUUUCAGUGGCAUAUCAUCUCUUCAAACAAGCAGAGAGAGUGGAAGACAUUUGACACAAACAGAAGGAUCGUACUUGCUUAUGUAUACCUCUGUGUGCCAUUGACAUGGAAGGCUUUG
ensembl:lncRNA